rnacentral:rRNA from 1 species
AGCCGCAGUACUCUGACUGUGCAAAGGUAGCAUAAUCAAUUGGCCUAUAAUUGAGGUCUAGUAUGAAAGGAGAUAUGGGUGUAAGCUGUCUCUUAAAAGUUAAUAAAAAUUAAUUAAUAAGUGCAAAUGCUUAUUUUAAAAUAAAAGACGAGAAGACCCUAGAAAUUUUUUAUAAUAUAACUAUAUAGUUAUACUUAUUUUGCUGGGGCGGCAGGAUGACAAAAAACUCAUCUAUUUUAUUGUGAAGUACUAUCAGAAUAUAUAUAAUUACUCUAGGGAUAACAGCAUAAUAUUUAAGAGAUUGUGACCUCGAUGUUGGACUAGGGAAUAUAUUAUUUAGAAGAUAAUAUAGUGUGCUCUGUUCGAGCAAAAUCCCCU